rnacentral:rRNA from 1 species
AGAGUUUGAUCAUGGCUCAGAUUGAACGCUGGCGGCAGGCCUAACACAUGCAAGUCGAACGGUAACAGGAAGAAGCUUGCUUCUUUGCUGACGAGUGGCGGACGGGUGAGUAAUGUCUGGGAAACUGCCUGAUGGAGGGGGAUAACUACUGGAAACGGUAGCUAAUACCGCAUAACGUCGCAAGACCAAAGAGGGGGACCUUCGGGCCUCUUGCCAUCGGAUGUGCCCAGAUGGGAUUAGCUAGUAGGUGGGGUAACGGCUCACCUAGGCGACGAUCCCUAGCUGGUCUGAGAGGAUGACCAGCCACACUGGAACUGAGACACGGUCCAGACUCCUACGGGAGGCAGCAGUGGGGAAUAUUGCACAAUGGGCGCAAGCCUGAUGCAGCCAUGCCGCGUGUAUGAAGAAGGCCUUCGGGUUGUAAAGUACUUUCAGCGGGGAGGAAGGGAGUAAAGUUAAUACCUUUGCUCAUUGACGUUACCCGCAGAAGAAGCACCGGCUAACUCCGUGCCAGCAGCCGCGGUAAUACGGAGGGCGCAAGCGUUAAUCGGAAUUACUGGGCGUAAAGCGCACGCAGGCGGUUUGUUAAGUCAGAUGUGAAAUCCCCGGGCUCAACCUGGGAACUGCAUCUGAUACUGGCAAGCUUGAGUCUCGUAGAGGGGGGUAGAAUUCCAGGUGUAGCGGUGAAAUGCGUAGAGAUCUGGAGGAAUACCGGUGGCGAAGGCGGCCCCCUGGACGAAGACUGACGCUCAGGUGCGAAAGCGUGGGGAGCAAACAGGAUUAGAUACCCUGGUAGUCCACGCCGUAAACGGUGUCGACUUGGAGGUUGUGCCCUUGAGGCGUGGCUUCCGGAGCUAACGCGUUAAGUCGACCGCCUGGGGAGUACGGCCGCAAGGUUAAAACUCAAAUGAAUUGACGGGGGCCCGCACAAGCGGUGAGCAUGUGGUUUAAUUCGAUGCAACGCGAAGAACCUUACCUGGUCUUGACUUCCACGGAAGUUUUCAGAGAUGAGAAUGUGCCUUCGGGAACCGUGAGACAGGUGCUGCAUGGCUGUCGUCAGCUCGUGUUGUGAAAUGUUGGGUUAAGUCCCGCAACGAGCGCAACCCUUAUCCUUUGUUGCCAGCGGUCCGGCCGGGAACUCAAAGGAGACUGCCAGUGAUAAACUGGAGGAAGGUGGGGAUGACGUCAAGUCAUCAUGGCCCUUACGACCAGGGCUACACACGUGCUACAAUGGCGCAUACAAAGAGAAGCGACCUCGCGAGAGCAAGCGGACCUCAUAAAGUGCGUCGUAGUCCGGAUUGGAGUCUGCAACUCGACUCCAUGAAGUCGGAAUCGCUAGUAAUCGUGGAUCAGAAUGCCACGGUGAAUACGUUCCCGGGCCUUGUACACACCGCCCGUCACACCAUGGGAGUGGGUUGCAAAAGAAGUAGGUAGCUUAACCUUCGGGAGGGCGCUUACCACUUUGUGAUUCAUGACUGGGGUGAAGUCGUAACAAGGUAACCGUAGGGGAGCCUGCGGUUG